CGCUUAGCCGGGGCGCGGCCGCCUGGCUCAGUCUUCGGACGCAGGCGCGCCAGCAGCCCCCGGUGCCGCGAGACUGCGAGGCACCGCCUCCUGCGUGCGUGCGCGCGCAUCCGCUCCGAUCUUCCAGGUUCUCUCAGCUCAGCUUCCGGCACCCCGGACUUCGGCCAGUGCUUCGCCAGCCUCGGCCGUGAACCUUCCGUGAGGCGGCUGCGUCCAGCGACUCCCGCGCUGUGGUUGCAGGGCAGCGGGCAGGGCCACAGGGUCAGCUGCGCCUGGAGGAGGCAGAGCUCCGCCGGAGCUAGUGCCCUGCCAGUCUUCAGGGCCCGCGUUCGACCUCGCAGCGAGUGCGUGCCGAACGCUGACCCUCUGGGUCCCGAGGGGGCUCGCGGGAGGUCGGGUGCCCUCCAGUGACUGACGAGAAAGAGUCAGGGGGCGGGGAGCCCAGGAGUUAGGCCUGAGGGCCCUAGGGAGGGUCCAUCCCUUAGACCGGAGAGGAAUUUUGUUUACAUACCCCACUGUUGUGGUGGUUUAUUUUUUACUAAAACAUACUUACAGGAAGUUCCACAUAGCCUAAGUGUAUGAAUAAGUUCACAAACUGAACAUAUCAGUGUAUCGAAAUCAGGUG